rnacentral:rRNA from 1 species
CCUGGCGGCACUAGCGCGGUGGUCCCACCUGACCCCAUGCCGAACUCAGAAGUGAAACGCCGUAGCGCCGAUGGUAGUGUGGGGUCUCCCCAUGUGAGAGUAGGGAACUCU